rnacentral:rRNA from 1 species
GAUGAACGCUGGCGGCGUGCCUAAUACAUGCAAGUCGAGCGAACAGACGAGGAGCUUGCUCCUCUGACGUUAGCGGCGGACGGGUGAGUAACACGUGGAUAACCUACCUAUAAGACUGGGAUAACUUCGGGAAACCGGAGCUAAUACCGGAUAAUAUAUUGAACCGCAUGGUUCAAUAGUGAAAGACGGUUUUGCUGUCACUUAUAGAUGGAUCCGCGCCGCAUUAGCUAGUUGGUAAGGUAACGGCUUACCAAGGCAACGAUGCGUAGCCGACCGGAGAGGGUGAUCGGCCACACUGGAACUGAGACGCGGUCCAGACGCCUACGGGAGGCAGCAGUAGGGAAUGUUCCGCAAUGGGCGAAAGCCUGACGGAGCAACGCCGCGUGAGUGAUGAAGGUCUUCGGAUCGUAAAACUCUGUUAUUAGGGAAGAACAAAUGUGUAAGUAACUAUGCACGUCUUGACGGUACCUAAUCAGAAAGCCACGGCUAACUACGUG